AACUCCUUUUGUCCCGCUCCUCCAAGCUUCCCAUCAGGGGAAAUAAAGCACCCACUGCUCCGCUCCGCACCGCUGCAGUAACACCCAGACCUCAACGGCGACGACGGGUGACAUAGAGGGGUUUUGCAAGGUGCUGGACCAGCAUCCCGUGCUCUCCAUCAGAAGCCAGAGGGCAAACUGGCUGCUGCCACGCUCGUGGGAGCGUUCGUUUGCAAGGUGACUGAGCUGGGCCGGCCCCGUUACACACUCAAUAAUUCAUGAGGGCAAACGGCAGUGAGCGUGCAAGCCAGGGCGAGGAGGAGCAAAGAACAUCAGCACUCAGCUUCCGGAGGGGCUUGACAAACACAUCGAGCAGGUGUGCGCGUGCACGUGCACCUCGCUGCUUCUUUGCUGAGGGACGCGUGUGCUCGGCGUGGCAGAGAAAAGGCUUUGGGAUGCACCCUGCAUUGCGGUGCCCACCGAUGCACCCCGACACCUCCCGGGGCAGCAGCACACCAAGGGCGAGCCGUGUAGGCCGAAGCUUGCUGAGUUGCAGUUUACUCGUUAUUUUAAUUUUACUUUCUGCUUGUUGCUGUCGUUGCUUUUGUUGUUGUUGUUGUUGUUGUUUUUAAGGUAGAAAAGGCCCAGCUGAGUGCCAAAGACGUGUUGGUGCCAAGCCCUCAUUAGCGGAGACCUCUGGGAUGCUGCUCCUCCACCUUGGCUUCUGAAGUGGUUUGUGCCGGUGCCUUUCCCCACGAUCCCAAGCCCAGAUAGUCACUGGGUCAUGCCAGGCCUUGGGGGCCCCGUGCAGAGCUCUGGGUGCCUUGCACAGGGCUGGGCGCCCUGGGUGUGGUGUGCAAGGAGCCUGCUGACCCUCGAGGCUUUGCAGAACGUGCCAGUGCCUAAAAAUCAUAGCAUCCUUAAGGUUGGGAAAGACCACUAAGAUGUAGCCCAACCAUCAACCCAUCAGAGGCAGCAGAUCUUGCAAGUGUGGGAUCUGGGUCCAGCCCCCCCCACGCCAUAUAGAAAGCUCUGGAAAUGAUCUCCAAGCUCUGUGCUCUGUCACAACCAGCCUCCGAUCAAUGCCUCUUUGUUAAGCACCAUGUGAACUCCGCUCUGCUUUGCACAACCUUGCCUCCGCUGAGCGUCUCACCGAUUUCUCUCUCCCGUUCCCUGAUACUCAUCUCACCCCAAGGGCACUGAAACAGCCCUUGGCAGCGGUGUGCUGAGCCGCCCUUUGGUGGGGCAAUCUCACAGCUGAAGCAAAUGUCACAGGAAUCAGUCCUAAUAGACUUCACAUCACUUGGAACUAAGGGGGAUGCCGAGGUCACAGCAGCUGGACCUCAUUAAAGGGCAAAGCAAUGCAUCAUGCUCCCACCUAUAAAAGCCCUUGCACCAAGCACCUUAUUCUCAGUUAGCUCCUUGCACUGUGAGGUCUGUAAGGAGCACUGUCUUGUCCCUGGGUUUGCAUGCUUUUAGGCAAAAGCACCUCAAGCAGAUGCCCAAAGACCCUUUGUGAAAGGAGAAAUGGGACAGAACUGUCCAGCUGUUGGUGAGCUUUGUGUUUUGUCUUCUUUCUUUUUCUCCUCCUGAUAUUUCUGAGUUCCUAUCCCGACCCCUUUCUAUUUUUACGUGAAGAUCAAGGUCUGAAAUGAAGCCUUCCCGGGGCAGAAUGCAGUCAGCCCAAGGGAUCACCCCAGGUGUGUUAGGCAGGGUGAGACAUGGGAAAGAAGAUCCCAAAUCCUGGGAGGGGAAUUUCAGGUGGCAGGAUGCAAAGGUUUGAAGUGGUGCUUGGCCGAGGUGUUGGGAGUUAAUACCUUGCUUCCUACCAGGGAGGGAGUCAGUAUGGAUUGCCAGGCACUUAGAGCAGUGCUUGCCUCACCCUGCUUAGUCAGUGCCUGCAGCCCACUGAGGAGUGCUGCCUUUGACUCAUGGCCUCUGCUUCCUGCAGCAGCAGCACACUCUUACUUUUACUGGAACUCUUUGUCAUGCGCUGAUUCACCUUAGUCCCCAGUGACUCCCAAAGGGAAGAGGAGGGGAGGGCUGCCUUCCCAGAACAAGGGGAUGGGGCCACAGACCAGGUGGCAAUGCUGCACCCGGAGGCUGAAGUUUGGAGGUGGCACUGUGGUGCAAGAACUGCAAGCCCAAGCAUCCCUUCCCCCAGCCAAGAGCUUUAUGAGGACUGACAGGAGGUAGCAGCCCUCCAAUGGCCCAGCUGGCUCUCAUCCAAUCCCCCUCCUCCCAUUAGAGAAAAAGAGCAGGCUGGCUUGUAAAUAGGAAGUGCAGGGCUUUGUACUUUAGGUCACUGGUUCUUAUCUAGCACCAGUGCAUUGUAGCAGCACGGAGGAUCAGUCAAUGGAUUGUAUUGAGCGAGCUCUCUAGUCAGCCCUUUGCUGGCUGUAUGCUGGGACAGGAUGGGGAGAUGCCUUGGGAUAAAGAAGGGUUGCCUUCUCCUGCCUAGGCAGCAUUUCCUCUUUGGAGAAAUGGAGCACAAAGCAGCCUCAGGGUGCACUUGAAUGAAAGAUCUUUCCCAGAGGGUCUGCUCCGUGGAUGCUGCCCUUGUUCUGUGAGGGUUUAGGAAGCCUGCUCAUCAAGCCAUCACAAAGGCCCUCACCAAGACCAAAGCCACGACUGUCCUAGGUGCUCUUCAUAGAGAGAGAUGAAAGAAAAGCAGAUGACAGGGUGAGACCAGCCACAGAUCAAACAGCAGAGCUGAACACCAGGCUACUAGCUCUUGCUGUCUGUGCUUCCACCUUGCAAGCAGCCCGGUUCUAGUUCUCUAGAAGGGCUGUGAACCUGAGGAGUGGGAAGGGAACAGCCAUGCCUCUUUGCUCCCGGCCUUCCCUCAUUGCUGCACCUCUCCUGACUUUCGCACAGCUGCUUUGCUUCACCUUCAAGUCAAGGGGAGGGGAGCAUGCCCUGUGGCAGGAGCAGGGAGGCUGGCAGAGCAGGGUUCUGGCUGCGAGUGCUGAUGCAGCACUGGGAAAGGCCUUCCUGCAAUAAAGCCAUGAAAUCCCGUGCUCAGCAACAAAGCACAAAGGCUCUCAGUCAUGGUGGAGCAGCCGGCUCCCACUGUCCCGCCCCACUGGCACGUCAGCUAAUCCCUGGUGAGGCUGCUGGUUCCCACACCUGAGCACUGGGCUGCUCACUGUGCAGCCCGUCCCUCCAGGCCUUUGGGCUGGACCUUGCUCCAGCUCCUUCCUUAGCUCUUUUCCCACCACGUGUGCUUCCAGAAAGUGGCUUUAGGACUCCCAUCUCCUUUCCCUUGUGGCUUUGUGUGACUUAUCACAGUGGGUCACGUUUCCUGCAUGCCAGCUGGUCUCCAUCACCAAGGAGCCUCUCAAGCUGCUCUGCAGGGCUUGUUUCCUCAAUUUAUCUUCACCAGUUUUCAGUCCUACCCAUCCUCCCAUCCUUCUUGGAUCUCCCCAGCACCAUUACAACCCAGUGCCCUCGCUUUUUCCCACCCCCUAGCCACUAGUUCCUCUUGAAGGGCACUGACGAAUGCAUCUAGGGCCAUGGUUCUGCACAAGGAAAAGCAGGUAGGUGGCCAAAGAACAAGACCUCAAAGCCCUGUGUCCCCCCGGAGUCACCUCCUUGCUCAUCAGUGAGGAAAAACAGAGGUCCUCCUGUGUACCACCUCUCUGUAAGCAAGAGGGAAGCUUGAGUCUAGGCAUGUUUGGCUUGAGAGGGGGUGCAUUCAGAACCAGUGUUAAUUCAGAGCUGGGGUGGGGAAGUGAGGGCAGCAAAGAACAGUACAGCUGGAAAAUGAAGUGUGGGGGGAGGUGGGAAAGAGGCAUUGAGGAAGGGGAAGGCAGUUCAGCUGGGACUGUCCCGAGACCCUAUGUUGAUGGGCUGGGCCCCAAAUGUAUGGAUUCAUUAAGGUUGGACCAUGAAGGUCAUCGAGUCCAACCAUCAACCCAUCCUCACCAUGCCCCACAUAUGUGAGUACUUUCUCUGCUUUGACUCUGCCCUGGAUUUCUGCAUUCCCUUGGAUGUUGUUCAAAGAGCCCCAGUCCAGGGCUAAAUAUUCUCACUAUCAGAGCUCCCCAGGUGCCGAGGAGAGACUUAAUGAAGAGCUGUGAAGAGGGGAUCAAGAUAGCAACCCAUAAAGAGCCUCAUUUCCGAAAUGAAGGAACUUGAGUCUGAAGAGAUUCAGUGGGGGAAAAAAAAAAAAAAAACCAAAAAAAAAACCAAAAAUAAACUCGAUGGCACAGAAAGAGCACGUCCAAACCUUCCUUGCCCGGGCUGCCAGCACAGAGCAGGAACAGGAAACGGGAGCUCUCAGGGCUCGGCUGCUGUGACUCACCCUCAUCCCGAUGGGAACGCGACAAAGCCGAAACUCUGCUGACUCAGGUGUGACUUAGUCCAGCAGGGGCAGCCAGCUUCUCACCGCCCUCGUUCCCUCUGUCCUGACUCAAUUCAAGGCCCUUCCAAUCAGUGGGGAGAUGCAGCUCCCAGGGAGUUACCAACAGAGGCAAACUCUCUGGUCUGAUGCCCAAGAUGUGGUGACAACCCCACGCCAAACCACGCUGGUGGUGACCAGGCUUGGAAUUUUUGUGGAGAUGAAGAUUCUCAUUUCCCUGUAGUUUAAAGGCUUGCUAACCAGUCACAGCUUUCUGGCUGCGGUCUUGCUUUCUUCUUGUCUUAUCCUUGGGGUAUGUCAUGCAUUGCUGGCUGUUUCACGAGCUCCUUAAGUUAAGAGAAACAUUUGCUACUAUUUCAAGUGGGAUAUGCCAUGCUCUGCGCUGCUAUAAUUUGUCCAAAGAUAGAAACGAUUAACAUUGUUUUGUGACCAGAAAAAAGAACAGAAGUUCUUAUGGCUCCUAACCCAUCAGAGCUGGCAACCAGAAGUAAUCUUUGCCACCAACGUGGCGUGGCACCCAUCAAACACCAGGGAUGGACGCCCUUUGUGCUGCCUGUGCUCUCCCUCAUAAUGGGUUUUCUUCUGCUUUACAGGUAUUUCUCCAUGAGAGUGGAAGAGACUCAGAACUCCCAAGCCUGGGAAGAACAACACGUCCAUCCUGAUGAUCUCUGCAUCACAUGGGCGCCCUGCAACAGUCCUACCUGCACCUGCCUGCAGGAGUCGGUCUGCGUGGUUAUGGAAAGCGCUGAGUCUUCAAAGGGCUUCUCAGAAGGUAAC